GCAGCUGUUUAGUCUCCCCCGUUGGUUUGGUGUUAAGUGGCAGCUUCCUCCCAGCCUUGAUUUUCAUCUCUCAUUUUCAGCAUCUUGCUGCUCACACCAAAUUCUCAAGCUGUGCAGUGUGUUCUGUGUUGUGCUAGGACAGUCUGGCUGCUGAGAGCAGGAGUGCAGAGGGCAGCUGCCAGGUAAAGGUGCAAGGAGUGGAGAUGUCUUCAAAAAUUCAGUGUAACAGCCAGCCUGAUGUUGACAGGGGCCAGCAGGAAUCUCCUGCUCUCCCAGAGGAAAUGGGAGCAAAGGAAAUUGCACCUUAAAGGAGAAUUUUUCUGCAGGAGUGACAGAUCAGAGAUGGCAUAAAGCAAGUGUGUAAGAAACCCCCACAUGCAUCAGGCUUUGGAGUGAGACCAGCCCUUUUCUCUGAGGUGCCACACAAGUGCCAGUGAUGGCAAAAGCUGGUGGUAAGACAAAAAUAAAAAUAUGGCAGUCACUUCCAACCUAUCAAGCUAGCUGACAUCAAUGGUGCAGCAGAUCAGUCAAUGGUUGAUUUAUUUAUCCCAGUAUUUCUCUGGCACACCCAGCCCCUGUUUCUGGAAAAGGAAAACAUUUGUGUGUUUGCAGAUUGUAGGAGUUGAUUUGUCAGUGGAGCUGCUCAGGAUGUUGGUUAAGUGAAAAAUAAUUUUGUGUGUUUUAGUAAAUGCAAUUCAUCAGAAGCUGUGCAGAUUAACUGGGUAGAGCUACACUGAACACCAUGGCAUCUGCAGAUAAAAAAAUGAUAAAUUAUGAUAUUACUCCUGCUCUAUGAUUCAUUGGGAGGAACUCAGAAGCCAAGCAUUUUCUUCAAAGAAAUUAUUCAAUGAAGACUGAGCAGCGACUAUAAAACAACAAAACACCUCCUUUGCAAUGGUUUUAAAUAUUGUUGUACAUAAAAUCUAAUUUAUAUGGUAUUAAAGGCUUUUCUUUGGACUACAAAUCAUCUUUGAAAAAUGCAUCCUGUAAACGGUUCAUCAGAUGCAUCUCAAAUACUUUUAUGAUUAUUAGUAAAUGGAAUUAGAGCAC